rnacentral:rRNA from 1 species
GACGUAGGGCGCGAGCGUUGUCCGGAUUUAUUGGGCGUAAAGAGCUCGUAGGCGGCUUGUCGCGUCGACUGUGAAAACCCGCGGCUUAACUGCGGGACUGCAGUCGAUACGGGCAGGCUAGAGUUCGGUAGGGGAGACUGGAAUUCCUGGUGUAGCGGUGAAAUGCGCAGAUAUCAGGAGGAACACCGGCGGCGAAGGCGGGUCUCUGGGCCGUAACUGACGCUGAGGAGCGAAAGCGUGGGGAGCGAACAGG